ACGGGUGAGUAACACGUAUCCAACCUGCCGUCUACUCUUGGACAGCCUCCUGAAAGGAAAGAUUAAUACAAGAUGGCAUCAUGAGUUCACAUGUUCACAUGAUUAAAGGUAUUCCGGUAGACGAUGGGGAUGCGUUCCAUUAGAUAGUAGGCGGGGUAACGGCCCACCUAGUCUUCGAUGGAUAGGGGUUCUGAGAGGAAGGUCCCCCACAUUGGAACUGAGACACGGUCCAA
rnacentral:rRNA from 1 species